rnacentral:rRNA from 1 species
AGUCGAGCGGUAAGGCCCUUCGGGGUACACGAGCGGCGAACGGGUGAGUAACACGUGGGUGAUCUGCCUCGCACUUCGGGAUAAGCCUGGGAAACUGGGUCUAAUACCGGAUAUGACCUUUCAGUGCAUGCUGUUGGGUGGAAAGAUUUAUCGGUGCGAGAUGGGCCCGCGGCCUAUCAGCUUGUUGGCGGGGUAACGGCCCACCAAGGCGACGACGGGUAGCCGACCUGAGAGGGUGACCGGCCACACUGGGACUGAGACACGGCCCAGACUCCUACGGGAGGCAGCAGUGGGGAAUAUUGCACAAUGGGCGGAAGCCUGAUGCAGCGACGCCGCGUGAGGGAUGACGGCCUUCGGGUUGUAAACCUCUUUCGACAGGGACGAAGCGCAAGUGACGGUACCUGUAGAAGAAGCACCGGCCAACUACGUGCCAGCAGCCGCGGUAAUACGUAGGGUGCGAGCGUUGUCCGGAAUUACUGGGCGUAAAGAGCUUGUAGGCGGUUUGUCGCGUCGUCCGUGAAAACUUGGGGCUCAACCCCAAGCUUGCGGGCGAUACGGGCAGACUUGAGUACUUCAGGGGAGACUGGAAUUCCUGGUGUAGCGGUGAAAUGCGCAGAUAUCAGGAGGAACACCGGUGGCGAAGGCGGGUCUCUGGGAAGUAACUGACGCUGAGAAGCGAAAGCGUGGGUAGCGAACAGGAUUAGAUACCCUGGUAGUCCACGCCGUAAACGGUGGGUACUAGGUGUGGGUUUCCUUCCACGGGAUCCGUGCCGUAGCUAACGCAUUAAGUACCCCGCCUGGGGAGUACGGCCGCAAGGCUAAAACUCAAAGGAAUUGACGGGG